CUCGCCCAUGCGUUCGCGGAGUGCACGGGAGGGCAACAGGCACCUGAAGAAACAAAAACGACUCUCGGCAACGGAUAUCUCGGCUCUCGCAUCGAUGAAGAACGUAGCGAACUGCGAUACUUGGUGUGAAUUGCAGAAUCCCGUGAACCAUCGAGUCUUUGAACG
rnacentral:rRNA from 1 species